CAUAAAGUAAAACAGCAGACACUUACUUUGAAGUGCAUGUUUUUUUUCCCUUAUUGGAAUCUCUCUCUUUCCCUUCACAAAGAAACAUGUAUCCACAGCUGAACAUGACAUGGUUAUGCUGUUAUGAACAGCAUGUAGAACACAUAAAGUAAAACAGCAGACACUUUGUGUGUACAUUGAAGUUUGUUUUUAUAUUUUGCUAUUGGACAGUUUGCCAAAGGCUGUGUCGCCCUCAUUAUUUGUCUAACAGAAAGUGUAUAAUAUUAUUCUUAUGAUUAACUAAGUGUUGUGGCACCAGAUAAGCCAAAACUAAAUGGCACACCUGAACUGAAUGGUUGACAGUUUUGUUCUUCUUACUCUACAAAAGUCUUCUCUGAUUUCACUUGUGCCAGAUUUAGUGGGAAAAACAAACAACAUUUAACUGUGAGGCGCAAUAUUAUCAUAGAAGUUAGGGUUGUUAUUUUUUUAAAAUGGGCUAUUAUUGUGUAAUGUAGCUUCCAGGACAAAUGAAACACUAAAUGUUUAUGUCCAAUGUAUGGGUUUAUUUUAAAAUUGUUUUGCUGACACAAGUGAACAAAGUUCAGAAUCUCACUGGCAAGAGGCGGAUGAAUACAAUGUCAAUGAGCUUGUAGCCUCGAUGCAAAGUGGUAUAUUCCGUAUAUUCUGAUUGAAUUCACAUGUUAAAGGAAAAGUUUCAGUUAAAAACCAAUCUCAGUUGAAUGUAAAUGAUGCCCUAAACAGAAAGAUGCUAGUCUGGAAGCAUGAUACACUACUUCCUCAGUUAACCAAAACAAUGUUAUCAUAACAUUUUUGUGUUAUCUUUUUAAUUCUAUUAUUAUCUUUUUAAUUCUAUAGCAACAGAUCAAAAUGUUAAUGGUUAACUCAUUGGAUAUUUCCUUUUUUUUUUCUUUCAGUUUUUAUGUUCUAAUUACUUUUUUUUUCUUAGAGUUUUAUUUGACAGCUCUAUGUGUCCACUCAGAUGAAAUAAAACUCCAUUUGGCUGUU